UACGUAGGGGGCGAGCGUUGUCCGGAGUUACUGGGCGUAAAGCGCACGCAGGCGGUCUGCUAAGUUUGGAGUGACAGUUGGUGGCUUAACUGCCAAAGGACUUCAAAAACUGGUGAACUUGAGGACGAGAGAGGAACAUGGAACUCCAGGUGUAGUAGUGAAAUGCGUAGAUAUCUGGAAGAACACCAAUGGCGAAGGCAAUGUUCUGGCUCGUUUCUGACGCUCAGGUGCGAAAGCCAGGGGAGCGAACGGG
rnacentral:rRNA from 1 species